rnacentral:rRNA from 1 species
GCAAGUCGAACGAGAAAGGUCCUUCGGGAACGAGUAAAGUGGCGGACGGGUGAGGAACGCGUGGAUAACCUGCCCUUUAGCGGGGGAUAACUAUUGGAAACGAUAGCUAAUACCGCAUAUGACUACGACCUCUGCGGAGGAUGUAGUAAAAGGCUUCGGCCACUAAAGGAUGGGUCCGCGUCCGAUUAGUUUGUUGGUGGGGUAAUGGCCUACCAAGACUACGAUAGAUAGGGGGUCUGAGAGGAUGAUC